UAUAAAUUAAACAUAUAAAAUUAAAUUUAUUUUAAGAGCAAAUCCAAAUCCACAGAUCACCAACACAUGAUCUCACUGAUUGAGCUCCCACAAGAUCACACACCCAUAAUCUAAUUAAUGGCUCAUCAUAUGAUAUCUACUCCAAUAAAAAAGAAAAACCCACACACUCACAACUCUCAUAUCUUACUUGGUAAAAGUAAAACAUGAUUUUAAGGGCACUUGGGCUUGCCCUUUGAGUUCUUCUUGUCCCUAUAGCAAGGGCACUCAUGUUUGUUCCCAUAAGUUCCAGAGGGUACACACUUGCAUUCAACGCAGCAUAUUCCACAGUACUUUAUGCACCUAUCUUUCACUCCUGCUUUGGCACACCUUGCCUUGCAUUUCUUCGUGCAGUAAGGGGACUUGGCCAUGGCAGGUUCCAAGAAAGAUGAGCUCAGGAGGAGUGCGCAAAGAAGCAAAGUAGCAAAGAAGAGCCUCAUUUUUCUCUUAGCUGCAAAUUGAAGAAGCUGUUUGUCUAGAUCAGGAGAGUUGAGUGGAAUGGUGGUUUGAGAGGAAGUGAGAGCUCAAGUGGGAAUAUAUAUAGUGACUGAAGGAAGCAAAGGGAACCCUUUUUUUUAAAUCGAACCCAAAGUUGAAUUCAUUAUUAAAUUUGGGUUGAUAGAAUUCGUUCAUGUAACAACCAGGGAAGAGUAAAUG
rnacentral:misc_RNA from 1 species